UACGUAGGGGGCAAGCGUUGUCCGGAAUCAUUGGGCGUAAAGCGCGUGUAGGCGGCCAGAUAAGUCCGCUGUGAAAUCUCGAGGCUCAACUUCGAGCUGUCGGUGGAAACUGUCUGGCUAGAGUCCGGAAGAGGAGAAUGGAAUUCCUGGUGUAGCGGUGAAAUGCGCAGAUAUCAGGAGGAACACCAAUAGCGAAGGCAGCUCGCUGGGACGGUAUUGACGCUAAGGCGCGAAAGCGUGGGGAGCAAACAGG
rnacentral:rRNA from 1 species